UGGCAGGGCAGAGGAUUAUGGGAAGGAUGCUAGAGGUGGGUGAGGUUGUCAGUGGUGUGGCAGGGCAGAGGAUUAUGGGAAGGACACUAGAGGUGGAUGGGGAAGUCAUUGGUUUGGCAGGGCUUUUUGUCCAGCCCUUGUGAAGAGUACUUUGGACUUUGUGCAGAAAUGAAUAAAUUAGAAUCACAACGUUUGAAAUUUGUGAAAAAUUGGUUGUACACUUUUUACUUACAAUUUUUUUUGACAUCUACUUAACAACAACUGUUAUCAUCUUUUUACAAUGUCUCCUUAACAAUUUUUUAUUUUUGAGAGUCUUUUAAAAUUUGCGUGCAAGAUAACACGUGUGUCAAAUUUUGUGUGCAAGAUAAAACGUAGCUUAAAGUUUUUGUGCAACAAGUACAUAUCUCUUUAACAUCUACAGAUAUUUAACUGAAACUUCACACAUUCACACAUGUUUAAGGGAUUAUCAUGAAAGGUCACAUACUAAGGCACAUAACUCUGACUGCAAUCAAUAAAAUUAUUCCUCUA